CCCUCUGCAGUCUGAUCGUAUCAGUGUCCAGCGUGGGAGAAGCAGGCAUCCCAGCUACAGGAAUGGUCACCACUCUCUUUAUUCUGACCGUCAUUGGGAUCCCUGCGAGGGAUGCUUCCCUUCUGCUGGUGUUAGAAUGGCUGCUAGAUCGUCUCAACACUGCUGUUAACGUUCUGGGAGACUGCAUCGGCGUGGCCAUUGUCGACCAUUUGUCAAGAGCUGAACUGGAAAUAAUGGACAGACAGGAGCAGAGGAGGAGAGCUUGAGGUCCAGGUUCAUACAAUAAAGAGGAGGACCCCGGACACCAUGAGGAGUUAUUAAGUGCCAAGAAUGAGUUUUUCUUAAAUGUGUUUCUUAAAAUGUCAUAUAUUUGUUGUUACAUGUUUUGCAUUUUGAUUUAAGAAACAUGUCAUUUGAUAAAAGAUUGAUGCAAAGAAUGUAAGUAUUGUAUUAAGUGAAUUUGCAGCAGGCAAGGUUGAUUUUAAAAUAAUUCUUUGAGUGCAAUGCAGUGUUUCUCUUUGAACUAUUUAUUUAUUUCUGUCACCUUUAUUGCAGAUUUUUUUUUUUUGGUCAGUGUUUUUUAAAUGAACUGUUUUAGUUGGAUUCAUUGAUUUUUUUUCUGAGCAUUACAUUUUUGUUGAUUUGAUUUAUUUGUAUACAAUUUUGUCUUUUUUUUGAAUAUUGUAUUUAGUGUAUUCACAGUACCAAUGGGUUGAUGCAGAGUUGCAAUGCAGAGUAUCUCUUAGAUUCCUUACUAGUUAUUUGCUGUCACCUCUAUGCAUAUGUACAUUUAUAUAUAAAUGUUUUGUAUAU